UUUGAUGACUACUAUAUUGUCCUUAAGAUGCACUAGCUGAUUUGAUCGAGAGACGACCUUUGAUGAAUGUAAAUGGUAUCUCUUCGGAAAUCAUCAUGAAGGAGUCACGGAGAGAAACAGAGAAAGGACGAAGAAGAAAAAUAAGCAAAUCCAGUUGAAAAUGCAAGACGAUUUUUGUUUAACAAUCACUGAAAAGAGAUUAGGGCGACAGCAAUGGAAGUUAAAUUGUGCUGCAUAUAAAAUGGGCGGGCUAGUGUUUAUAUUAGGCAGGCACAGCCUAGUCUAAUUUUAAACGGUCUACGCUUGGACACAGUCUAUUUGCCGUGCACUUUAUUUACAGGAACCAGUGAUGAACCAAAACAUUUGGCUAGAGAUCUGGAUACACAGAGCACAUCUGCUAGUUUAGUAGGACAUUUCUAUUGCUGGCAGACAGAGAGUUCAACUCACUACAGCACCACCAAUGAACAGUGAGAGAGACCUGCGCAUAUCGUCAGCAGCCGCUUCUCCAGCCUCGAGCUAAAAUUCGCCAGAUCUGAGAUCACAGAGGAUUUUCUCAUUCAGUUCGGCUAGAAAAUAUAUUCACAAAAGUUUGAGGAUAUAGGCAGCGGACAGCGAAUAUCCCCCGACUCAUCUGCUCAAUGAAAGGUCCUCAUAUUGCAACUAUGUGUGGAUGGAGCAGGACGGCCUUUCUGUGUCUGUGGGUUUGUUUGCUUGUCACCAACAGCGUACUGGGUGGGAAAAGCUCUGGGCAGAAUGGCAUGACAGAUGAACAGAAAGAUAACACUACAGUGUUCACCAAGAUCUUAGACAGCCUUCUGGAUGGCUAUGAC